UAAACGACGUGAGGAACCGUAGCCUCAAAGAGGGGGACAACAAGUUGGAAACGACUGCUAAUACCGCAUAAGCCCACAGCUCGGCAUCGAGCAGAGGGAAAAGGAGUGAUCCGCUUUGAGAUGGCCUCGCGUCCGAUUAGCUAGUUGGUGAGGUAAUGGCCCACCAAGGCGACGAUCGGUAGCCGGACUGAGAGGUUGAACGGCCACAUUGGGACUGAGACACGGCCCAG
rnacentral:rRNA from 1 species